rnacentral:rRNA from 1 species
AUACGUAGGAGGCAAGCGUUGUUCGGAAUCACUGGGCUUAAAGAGCGUGUAGGCGGGGUGGUAGGUGCCUUGUGAAAUCCCUCGGCUCAACCGAGGAAUGGCUCGGCAAACCAUCACUCUUGAGGCAGGUAGAGGCAAGCGGAACCAUGGGUGGAGCGGUGAAAUGCGUAGAGAUCCAUGGGAACACCGGUGGCGAAAGCGGCUUGCUGGACCUGUUCUGACGCUGAGACGCGAAAGCGUGGGUAGCAAACAGCAUUAGAUACCCCAGUAGUCC